AUCGAGAUUGAUCAGACCACCGCAAGCACAAGGGAUCGACGAUGGCGAUCAGCCGCCAGCAUCAUCUGCUCAUGGUCCUCCUGCUCCUCGUGGCCACUGCCCAAGCGCGGCCCUACAGGAGCUCUGGCUCAGGUACAGCAGCAGGAGGAGAAUUCCAAGGAGCAGUAGUAGCCAGGAAGCUUGAUGAGGCCGGUUCCAUCAGCAAUGGCGCCAUGGGAGCAGACGGCAUACCCUGCGACCCCCGGCGCGCGAGCAACUGCCGGCCGGGGGGCAAUAGUCCCUACAACGGCCGUGGCUGCUCCCCAAUCGACCGCUGCCGAGGAAAUACGGCUAGCUCGCCGUCUAACUGAAUAAUUAAUGCUGCUGAAUAAGGAGCAAACUAGCUAGUUUUCGCUAUAAUUAAUGAUUUUCUCCUUUCUAUUCUCGAUCACCUUUUGUUACCCAUAACAACCGUACGUGAUUACAAGCGUGUCUAUUUUCCCGGUCGACUUCGAAAUAGUUAUUUCUCGGUCGACGUUCGUACCCAUCAGAUCAAGAUAUUCUCAUUCAUUUGUACGUA